rnacentral:rRNA from 1 species
UACGUAGGUGGCGAGCGUUAUCCGGAUUUAUUGGGCGUAAAGCGUCCGCAGACGGUUUGUUAAGUUUAGAAUCAAAUCCCGAGGCUUAACCUCGGUUCGUUCUAAAAACUGGCAGACUUGAGUGUAGUAGAGGCAAGUGGAACUUCCAGUGUAGCGGUAGAAUGCGUAGAUAUUGGAAAGAACACCAGUGGCGAAGGCGACUUGCUGGGCUAUUACUGACGUUCAUGGACGAAAGCGUGGGGAGCAAAUA